rnacentral:lncRNA from 1 species
CGUUUUGUUACUGUUGUUAAAUCUGUAGAUUAAAGAAUUGAAACCCUUAUUUUUCGUUUGUUCCUUCUUCCUCAGCGCAACCCGUCUGCAACUUUUUUCUUCCUUCUCCUUCUCCCUUCUUUCCUCCCUCGCUUUGUACACAUUUUCAAAUCUCACACUGGAAAAUCGCCUGAUAAGAAAGUAAUAGAUGAAAGAACACAUGGAUAGAAAACGAUGAAAGCGAAAAAAUAGAAGAAAAUAAACAAUCUUUCUGUUGUCCAUAUUAAUGCCCACCUUUCCAUAUAAAAGAAGAAAAUAAACAAUCUUUCCAAUGCCUUGGACUAUUUCGCAAUGUCACAUUAAAUUUUUAGUUUUAACAUUUAAAUUCCUCCAUUAUUAAUGCCUAUAAUCUAAAAAAAUUCACAAGUACUGACAUUCAUUCACGAUAGCCAUUCUCAAGCUUUUGCCCUAUCAAAUUAGCUAUUCGACAUAGACGCAUACAUAGCUUGUAACGGAGAUUCAGAGCUCUUCAAAAACUUGAUACUUCUCCAAAAAAAAAAACAAAUGAACAAAAUGCAACUGGACUAUUUCACAAAAAAUCAGAUUUCGCACCUGUCAGCCAUGGCAAGCAAUGACAAUCCUCACGCAGCGGCGAAUCCUCCGCCUCCCGCUGCAAUGACGAAUUCACCUGCGCCAGCAAUCGACGGAGCGCUACCCACCAAUGGGCUGAGAAGUCGAACUCAAUCGGAAGAUUUCACCACCGGCGCCGCCGUAUAGAUUGGGGAAGGAGAUUAGUUCAGUGAGAUUUAACAAAUUACGGGAAGCAGAAGACGAAUUACGGGCUCUGUUUA